GGAGUGAGAAGAAGCCCUGCAGACCCCAAGAUGCCAAUCACAUACCAGCUCCACCCCACUUACAACAGCCACCUGGACCAUGAGCGAUUUGACAGACACUGACCUAGAUGGUGAUACUGUGAUGGAAACCAAACUAGAGCUGUGAAGAAUAAACUGUGGCAGACUUA